CAAUAACCAGCCUCCAAAGUUAAAUAAAUUGAAACAAUUUUAUUAAAAACACACUGUAGGUAAAAUUUUGAAAAGAUACUUGUCACGAUCAUCAGCUGGAGGCACUCCACUCAGGACUCUUGCAUUUGGUGUCCAUUUCCAUUCCCAACUCCAUUUCCCAUAAUCCUGUGCUUAGGUCUAAUCACCACCAGGUGUUCCCCAUUACCACUCCCCUAUAUAAACUGUGUUUGGACUCUCAAUGAUUGCGAGGUCUUGUUUAGCCCCGUCUAGCAUUUCCGAGCGGUUUCCCUGUGUUGUUCCUUCCGUGUUUUGAUAUUAGAUUGUUUAUACCGACUGUGAUUCUCUGCUGCCUGCCCUGACCUCUGCUUGUUUCUGUUGUUGAUUUUGGAUAUCCCUGUACAUACCUGACGCUGUUCCCCGAUCAUUGCCUGUUUGACCAUUCUGAUAAUAAAGUACUGCAGAUGGAUCCGAACGUCUCUGACUCUACGUUACGGAAGACUUCGCCAAACAAGGAUCCAGCGGGGUUUUCUGAGGAACUCAGGCCAGGUAUGGACCCAGCUGAGCAGCUGCUUGAGCUGCGGCAGGGAAAUUCUUCCAUCGAGGAUUAUGUUGCCCAGUUUUGUGAGCUGUCCUACCGGGUAUCCUUUGGGGACAUAAUGCUCAAGGACAAGGACAGUCCUGCAGUAUCUCCCACUCCAGGGUGUCUCCACAAAAUGGCUGCCAUUCCAGAGUGCCGUCGCAUCAUGGCCGCCAUUCCAGAGUCUCAUCACGACAUGGCCGCCAGCCCAGAGCCACUGUGCAAGAUGGCCGCCAGCCCAGCGCCACUGCACAAGAUGGCCGCCAGCCCAGCGCCCCUGCACAAGAUGGCCACCAGCCCAGCACCACUGCACAAGCUGGUCGCCAACCCAGAACCACUGCACAAGAUGGCAGCCACAGGUGAUCAUCAAGAGCAAAGUCAAGUCACCGUUGAUCGUCAAGAGCAAAGUCAGGUCGCCGCUGAUCUUCCAGAGUCAGGUCAAGUCGCCGCUGAUCUUCACAAAUCAGGUCAGGUUGCCGCUGAUCUUCCAGAGUCAGGUCAAGUCGCUGCUGAUCUUCACAAAUCAGGUCAAGUCACUACUGAGCUUCCAGAGCCUCGUCACGUCUCAGCUGAACUUCCAGAGCCUCUUCACAUCUCAGCUGAUCAUCCAGAGCCUCAUCUCAUCCUGUCUGUUGCGCCAAGUAACGUUCUCUCAGCCUGUUGUGUUGCUGUCAAGGAGACGGUUACUGCUGUGGAACCUCCAGAGGUGGCGGCAACUGCUGCAGAACCUUCGGAGGUGUCAGUAGUAUCCACCCACAAACUCACGGCCUGUCCUGUCAUGGCCACGGAGGCCGUCAUUAACCUGUGUAUGUUCUCUGUUUCAGUCCUACCUGACCAGACUGGCUCUCCUGUGGCUCCUUCUCAUAAAUGCCCUCCCUCCCACCUGCUCCUGCCUCCUCCACCGCUGUCGUCUGGCAGUCCCUCUGCUCGCCCUCAGCCCAUCAUCAUUGCUGUGCGAGGUCCGUGGGACUUCCAUCCUCCAGCAUGGCCGGAGUCUCCCUCACCUACACCUUCAGCCUCCAAGGCCUGGACUCCGCCUCUGCCUGUUGACCCGUCAGCUCCACCAUGGCUCCUAGCUCCCUCCUCUCCGCCGUGGCCUGGCAGUCCACAAGCUCUGCCUGGCUCCCUCGUCCCUCCGGCUCUGCCUUGGGCUGGCGUCGUCCAUCCUACGCCUCAGUACUCCACUCCUCUGACUUCGCCUCGUCCUUCCGUACCUCCGGCUCCGUCAGGCUCCUUCAUCCCCUCGGCUCCACCUCAGUCCUCUGUCGCUCUGGCUCCACCGUGGCCUUCCAGAUCCACAUCUCCGCGUCAGUCGCCAGAGUCAUCUGUUUCACCUAGGACCUCCGGAUCCUCCCUGUCACCCUGGCUCUGGGGCUCUCCGUCUCCGCUUCGGGCUCCUCCUCCACCUGCUCCGCCGCCGUUGCUCGGCCCCCUGGAGUUGGCGGUUAUUCCUCCUCCAUGGCUCCUCCCACCAUCUGCUCCACCUUGGACCAUUAAGGCUGUGGCCUGGGUCCAGCUAGACUCCUCUUGCUCCAGGUCCCUCCUGUCUCCUCCCUGGCUCCUCCCUCCCUCCCUCCCCCUGUUCCGCCUCCGCUCCACCUCCCGCCUGAACUCUGGUCUACUCUCAGUUAGGAGCGUCUGGAAGCCACUCCUUAGGAGGGGGGCUAUGUCACGAUCAUCAGCUGGAGUGCCCAUGAUCUCCAGCAGAGGGCACUCCACUCAGAACUCUUGCAUUUGGUGUCCAUUUCCAUUCCCAACUCCAUUUCCCAUAAUCCUGUGCUUAGGUCUAAUCACCACCAGGUGUUCCCCAUUACCACUCCCCUAUAUAAACUGUGUUUGGACUCUCAAUGAUUGCGAGGUCUUGUUUAGCCCCGUCUAGCAUUUCCAAACGUUUUCCCUGUGUUGUUCCUUCCGUGUUUUGAUAUUGG
ensembl:lncRNA